GGGGCUAUAGCUCAGCUGGGAGAGCGCUUGUAUGGCAUACAAGAGGUCAGCGGUUCAACUCCGCUUAGCUCCA
rnacentral:tRNA from 1 species